CCGCGUCUUGGCACCAAGGAAAUUUCACCUCACGCGCCCUUCCCUGCCGCCGCAUCUCCCUGUCGUCUCUUGCUGACCCCAGCCAUCCCGCGCCGUAUAGUAGCUCCGUCACCCCCGCCGCACCUAUUCCACCAAUUUUGGAGGCCGAGGGUGCCCAUUUUUCUCCGCAGACGAGCGGCGCCACCAGCACCAUGGUUCCGCCCCGGAGGUUGCUGCGCGACCUUGUAGUGGGCGGAUCCGGUUGGUUCCCAUGCCGGUGAACCCCGGAAUCGCCUGAGGGAUAGCCGCACGCGCCGGCGCCGCGGAUUUGGAUCGUGGUGAAGAAGGGGUUUGGCCGAUUUGCUUCGGCCGACACCGGAGAAGAAAGCGGCGGCUCACUUGAUUCCGGGAGGCGGAAUUGCAUUCGGGGAAGAUGGAUUGGAGUUCGUCGUCGUCGUCGUCGUCAGAUGAUUCCGUGAUAGAGAGAAGAUUUUGGACAACGAUGUCGACAACCUAGUGUUGUUGUAGCUCGUGAACAAAUUUGAAAGGGGUCCGAAGAGAAAGCGUCAUGGAUCCAAGGUUGACCAGCUAUGCAUUCCGAAAGCGUCAUGGAUCCAAGGUUGACCAGCUAUGCAUUCCGCCCAACCGAUCUCUCAGUGACAAGAUGCUUAUGAAGGACUACUUCGCCAAGGUACCGACAUAUCCGGCUCACCUAUUCUGUAGGCGGUAUCGAACGUGUAGGCCUCUUUUCGUUUGCAUCAUUGAAGGUUGCGAGCAAAUUGUCGUCUUUUCACUCGUCGAAGGAAUGCUGCCGGUUUGCUUGGCUUUAAUACAUAUCAAAAAAUAUCGGCGGCGAUGAGAGUGAUUGCAUAUGGCGUUCCCGCCGACUAUGCCGAUGAAUAUCUUCGCAUUGGAGAAGAUGCCACUAUCAAAUGCGUGCAGGUGUUUGUGAAGACAAUGGUUCGGGUUUUUGGCCCAGAGUAUCUUCAAGCUCCAAAUGAGGAGGACACAAAGAAGUUGAUGGCGAUGAACGAAGAAUGUGGAUGGUCGGGCAUGCUUGGGAGUAUUGAUUGCAUGCAUUGGAGGUGGAAGAACUGCCCGAUGGCUUGGGCAGGGCAAUACAUUGGACACAAACAUAAACCUACCAAUGUGCUUGAAGCUGUGGCUUCACGCGAUUUAUGGGUUUGGCAUGCUUCUUUGGUUUGCCGGGGUCUCUCAAUGAUAUCAAUGUCCAUCGAUCUCAUCUUUAUGCUCAGCUAGAGUGGAAAAGCUCCGGCUUGCAACUAUACCGUCAAUGACCAUGAUUAUACCAUGGGGUACUAUCUUGCCGACGGUAUUUAUCCUCCAUGGUGAACAUUUGUGAAGACCUCUCCAUGGUGAACAUUUGUGAAGACCAUCAGUGACCCCAAAACCAAGAAGCAUGAAAUUUUUGCCGAAGCACAAGAAACAUGCCGAAAAGAUAUUGAGAGGGCAUUUGUUGUGUUGCAAGCUUGGUUUGCCAUUGUUUGAGGUCUCGCUCGAUUCUAGGAUAAGAAAUCCCUCAGAAACAUCAUGGCUGCAUGUGUAAUUUUACACUAUGAUCAUCGAGGAUGAGAGAAUUUGAACUUAAGAGUUUUAUUAUGAUAAUGUGGGUAGCCAUGUGAAGCCUGACAGGGACGCAGGUGAGAUCACUGCAUUUCUUGAGACAUGUCGGAAGAUUGAGAAUAGUGCUUCACACUACCAGCUCCGCGAUGAUCUUGUUGAGCAUAGUGGCAACUCUAUGGGAGAUUAGACUCCCAUUUUAAUUUUAAUUUUAUAAAUUUCAUAUGUAUUUGUGUGUGAUUGAACAAUUUAUUGUUGUACUAAUUAUUAGAAUUUGAACAGUUGUUGUAAUGAAGAUUGUUGUACUGUGAAUUGCCUUUCGGAUCAUUUAUAUUCAUACGUUUAAUUUAUAUUAUAAUUCUGUUCGGUUGAUAUUGUUAAAAAUCAAAAAGUUGUGAGGCUCAAGAAAAUUUACGGUACCGCGAGGCCUUCGGCUCGGAACAGACCAUGUAAACUCAUCCCACAAAUAUUUUGCCAGGACCUGCUAGAGAUGCUCUUAGGGGCUCGCUGAAGUUGGUCUUUUGAGGCAUCUAUCUAUAGACCUUUUGUGCAAAACUCAUAGGAUAUGACUUGCGUACAAGCAAUAGUCUUUGGUUAUGAGUUGAAACCCCGUGUCCAGUAUCCCAAACAGAUUCUAGAGAUACGACUCCGAGUAGUGUUGUGUCUGAGGGUUUCUUUCACAAGCGAGGCGUCAAAACAAGGUUAACAAACAGCACCAAAUAAUAAAACGAAUAAAACACAAGGCAUAUCAUUUGAGUGAACCAGAAUACCAUCGACAUUAAACUACCACGGAGACGAAACAAAUACAAAGAACACUUUGGUUACACAAGUACCUAUCUCUUGCUGGCCAAGAGAAGAUAACACACAACCUAGCAGCAAGUACUAAAUAAAAGC